rnacentral:tRNA from 1 species
GGGAGCGGGUCUCGUCUGGUGACGGGGGCGGUCUUCAAAACCGGCUCGUCCGGCUAAAACCCGGGUCGGUGGGUUCGAUUCCCACACGCUCCCGCCA